UGCCUUUCUACAAGAUUGCUGUGGCUGUGCAGGCUUGAAUGGUUCUCUGUGUCCUGCUCUGAGAUCUGCUGUCGGGUGCAUUGAGGGGACCUCAGGAAGCUCUGAGAUUUAGACAUGGAUGCAGUGACUUUUGACGAUGUGCAUGUGAAUUUCACUAAAGAAGAAUGGAAUUUGAUGGAUCCUUCCCAGAUGAAUCUCUACAAAGAUGUUAUGUUGGAGACCUACUGGAACCUUACUUCUAUAGACUACAAAUGGGAAGACCAUCAUAUUGAAGAACCAUGUCAAAGUUCUCAAAGACAUACAAGGUAAUUUUCAUGUGCAAGCUGAUACAAAUAUGUCUGUGAGGAAAUUGUAAUAAGUCCUGGAAGUUCUAAAGAAAAGCAAGAGUGUCAAAUAUCAGUCCAUUGCCUGUAGGUAUGAUUAUGAUAUUCUCGCAAGUGCGUGUACCUCAGAGCCUAUUAUCUGAUUUGUGGUUCCAGUGCAUUCCUCUAUGAAUGGAAACAAGGAAACAAUGCCUUAAGAGAUCCCUUUAUUUGAUUUGUAGCUCCAUUAAACCUAUGCUAUG